rnacentral:rRNA from 1 species
GACGAACGCUGCGGCGUGCCUAAUACAUGCAAGUAGAACGCACAGGAUGCACCGUAGUUUACUACACCGUAUUCUGUGAGUUGCGAACGGGUGAGUAACGCGUAGGUAACCUGCCUGGUAGCGGGGGAUAACUAUUGGAAACGAUAGCUAAUACCGCAUAAGAACAUUUACUGCAUGGUAGAUGUUUAAAAGGUGCAAAUGCAUCACUACCAGAUGGACCUGCGUUGUAUUAGCUAGUAGGUGAGGUAACGGCUCACCUAGGCGACGAUACAUAGCCGACCUGAGAGGGUGAUCGGCCACACUGGGACUGAGACACGGCCCAGACUCCUACGGGAGGCAGCAGUAGGGAAUCUUCGGCAAUGGGGGGAACCCUGACCGAGCAACGCCGCGUGAGUGAAGAAGGUUUUCGGAUCGUAAAGCUCUGUUGUUAAGGAAGAACGAGUGUGAGAAUGGAGAGUUCAUACUGUGACGGUACUUAACCAGAAAGGGACGGCUAA